CCCCCGGCUGCUUUCCCGUAUCCCAGGAGGGCAACAGCCCCGACCACCUCCCGCCCGGCCCCAGCUGCGCUGCGAACGCUCCUCAGCAAUCGAUGCAGAAGUCGUUUGACUCAGCUGCGGGUGCGGGUCCAGUGCCACAGACUUUGUCAGUUGCUCCUCUGCUGAGCCCUGCCGCCAGCCCGGAGCCCACCUGAGGGACAGCCUGUCCCGCAGCCCUUCUGAGCCUCUGAGCCUUCUCUCAGUGCCAUGAAAACCUGUGUGCUGGGUUUCCAAACCGCAUUUCUUCCUACUUUUCCGAGCGAGCUGAAGCACUCAGGGCCUCUGUUGUGUCUGGCUUUGGCAGCAGACUCACUGUCGGCCAUUCUUUUGCAACUGCAUCUGAUUUCUUUGUCACCGUGACCAUGAACCGGACGCAGCCAGAAGGACUGACCUGGCGGCAGCGCUCGGGUGGCUGCCGAGGUGGGAAGCAGCCCGGCUCCCUCACCUGGCACCUCUCGGCCCUGCCCCGGCCGUGCUCACCUUGUCCGGCUGCCUUGCGCACCUUGCUCCGUCCCGGGCGUCCCUCACCGGCUGCGGGGGCUGCGGGGCUGGCCCGGCUGGACUCGGCCGUUCCCGGCUGGACUCGGCCAUUCCCGGCCGGACUCGGCCAUUCCCGGCGGGUUCCAGAGGCCCCCCGGGCAGGGCUGAGCCCCUCACAGAAGGUCCGGGCUGGAGGAGGUAGAAAGAUCAGGGUGAGGCAGUGGAGGGGAAAGGCGGGGAUGACGACGACGGAGUAUUUUUUGACUUUGUUUCUAUUUUCAAUUGCCAAUAAAUGAAAUUAAUUUUUCCCAAAUCAAGUUUUGUCUUUGGCGGUAGCUGGUAAUUGAUCUUCUUGAUUUUAUCUCGAUCCAUGACAUUUCCCCUCAUUGUGUCCCCUGUCCUGUGGAGGAGGACAGUGAUGGAAUGGCCAGAUGGGCUGGCGGGGCCAUCAGAGCCAAUCCUGUUCGGAGCACAGCAGCUCCACCGCAGGUUGUUACAACUUCUGUGUGUUGUGACAGUCCAGAAGUGCCACAGGGGUUCUUUUCUGUCCGUCCUGCCAUCACCACCCAGCUCUUGGCUGCCUUUCCCACUGACUCUGCAGAAGGCAUUGAGGGUACAGCGGUCAAAUUUCUUAUGCUGAAAUGCCCGUUUGGCAAGAAAUCAUCCCAUUUCACUGCAGUGCAACACUGUCUGAACAGGGCGCUUUGGCAGACAGUAGCACCUUUCAGUUUUCUGAUUACAAUACUUGUGUGAAUGUCCUGGAGCCAGGUCAGCCUGUGUAUUUGUAUCCUACAGUCUCCUUUGUACAAUUACACUGUGACCACAUGGGGCAGAAAUCUCUAUUCACUGUCAAUCACUGUACUCUUUGCACUUCCCUUUCUGUACCAUACAUGAUCUCAGUUGAACAUUCAUUACUGGAAAAGAGAAUGCUCCCCCUCUUUUGCUUCUUGACAAUAUCUGCUUGAAGUUGUGAGGAUGUGUCUGUCUUAUAAAUCAGUUAUUAAAUUGCCUGGAAUUUAUGCUUAGUUCCCUUUGAACAAAAUUGUAGAUAAAUGGUAGGUGAAUUAUUUUUUUUUUCCCCCAUGCACUAAAUUCAACUAAGAUGCAGUUUCACUCAGUCCCCUC